GUCCCCAGAGGGGCUGAGUGCUGCCUGGUUCUGGAUCCCACUGGGCGCAGCUCAGAACUUGAAGAGCGAGGAAGAACAAUGCCAGGAGGUCUGGAGAAAGCCUGUCAUGAAUGCAUUUCCAAAAUCGCCAGCAAUGCCUGCUUCGUUUUUGUGCUCUGCACUUUCCUCGCUCUGCCGCUGUCCAUGGCCUUCAUAGGUCUGCUGUUUCUAGGAGUGACUAUGAAUCUGCAUCUAAGGACUUUCUCCCUAAUGACUUGGAGGUCCAGGUUCCUGGAAGAGUCUUUUUGGUCACCAGAGGAAACAGCAGCAUUGGCAAAGCAACUGCCCUUGAAAUAGCCAAGCGAGAACAUUUUUCUGCACAUUGUGGACUUGUCUGAUCCCAAGCAAAUUUGGAAAUUUGUUGAAAAAUUCAAGCAAGAACAUAAACUCAAUGUCCUGAUCAAUAAUGCAGGUUGCAUGAUCGAUAAAAGAGAACUCACAGAAGACGGACUUGAAAAAAACUUCGCUACCAGUACUCUGGGUGUGUACAUUUUCACAACCAGCCUGAUCCCUGUGCUUCAGAAAGAACAAGACCCCCAAGUGAUAACUGUCUCCUCAGGAGGAAUGUUGGUUCAGAAACUGAACACUAAUGAUCUCCGGUCUGAAAGAACACCGUUUGAUGGAACUGUGGUCUAUGCACAAAACAAGGUCAGAGACAUGGAGGUUCUGAUGGAGCGGUGGGCCCAAGGGCACCUGGUCAUCCAUUUUUCUUCCAUGCAUCCUGGCUGGGCCGACACCCCAGGUGUGAGGCAGGCGGUGCUGGGGUUUCACACCAGGUUCAGGGACCGCCUGUGCUCUGAGGCCCAGGGCACGGACACAAUGCUGUAGCUGGCUCUGCCACAGCCGCGCAGCCCAAUGGCUGCUUCUUUCAAGGUGACGUCCUCCCUGGCUAUGAAGGCAGCUGACACAGGGCUGGGGGCAGCUGGGCCUUAGAGGUGCACCUUCCCCUCCGUUGGGAUCAACCCCUGGGGGGGUGCCUGGACCUCUUUGGCGAGAUGAUUGCUUUGCCUGCUGAGGUUAGUUUUGUGAAGUGCCUUACCCCUGAUUGGUAGAUUCUUUGAAGACUUGUGAUAACCCUGUCAUCAAGGUCCUAUGGGGACAAGGUAGAGGCAGUGGUACCUUGGGGAUUUUCUCUGCAGUUUCCUGAGGCCCAGGAGGGGCGCUAUUUAAAGCUCCAGUGCAAAGGGAGUAAUCAACUCUAUUUUUGGAAGCAGUGAUCUGUUCACGCCUUUUCCCAGUGGGCUCCUAAGGGGCCAGGGGUAUGGGUGCAUGCCAUCUAAAGAGAACACUUAACCUUGGGUGGAAGCCAGGCUCUUUGCUCUGCUUCUCUUUAUUUUCUCCUUGAUGAGAACCACCUUGCUUGAGGGAUCCUGAAGCUCUGGUGACCCUGGGGUGUCUGGGAGGAUGGCCGUGCCCCUUCCUGCUGAUCACUCAGUGGUCUCCUGCCCAGCCCUGGGUGCAGCCUGCCAGUUCCCAAAGUGCACUUCACAAUAGACCCACGCUGCCUAAUCCAUGUGGGACCUCUGAGGGCAGGAUGGGGUCUAACACCCGCGGGCCACCACCACUCCCUCUCCAGCAGGUGUCAUUUCAGGGCCUGGGCAGCACAAAGACUGAGGCCCAGCCUUGCUGCGGCGGCUAACAUGUCUCUGCUGUUCCCUGUCGCUUUUAGAUCGGAAACCAGUUUCUAUACACUUGCCUCUCGCUAGAACGUCCUCCUCACCGGCUGAAGAAAAGAAACUCAUUGAAAUCCUAGAACAGCUGGCUCAGACAUUUAAAUAGGCCAACCCAGACACAAUGUGGUACCAGAAUUGCCUUAGAAAAUACCAGAAGGUGUGGUCUAGGGACCGGUGAACAGACCUCACUUCAACUUCCCCUUGAAGAUGUGCCUUACAGUGAGGGGCCUUCAAGUUAUGGGAACUUUUGUUUCAAAAUAAAUCCUACUGGGGCUGUGAUUAGGCUCAC